rnacentral:lncRNA from 1 species
AGUUAAUUGGUUAUAAUUAAUUUCAAAGUUAGUUAGGAUUGGUCCAAGAAUUAGUUAAGGAUUGAAUAAAGAUUCAAGAAAGUCCUAAUUGGACUAGGACUCAUUCUUCUUGACUGCCCACCCCAUGAAACCCAUCUCUGUGCCAUAUGGAAUCAUGCCCAAUGUUUCUUCACAUAAAAAAUUAGUUUUGGUGUGAGAAAAGCUGUGCCCAA